rnacentral:rRNA from 1 species
UGGGGAAUAUUGGACAAUGGGCGCAAGCCUGAUCCAGCCAUGCCGCGUGAGUGAUGAAGGCCUUAGGGUUGUAAAGCUCUUUUACCAGGGAAGAUAAUGACGGUACCUGGAGAAUAAGCCCCGGCUAACUUCGUGCCAGCAGCCGCGGUAAUACGAAGGGGGCUAGCGUUGCUCGGAAUCACUGGGCGUAAAGCGCACGUAGGUGGGUCGUUAAGUCAGGGGUGAAAUCCCGGAGCUCAACUCCGGAACUGCCUUUGAUACUGGCGACCUUGGAGUCCGGGAGAGGUUAGUGGAACUGCGAGUGUAGAGGUGAAAUUCGUAGAUAUUCGCAAGAACACCAGUGGCGAAGGCGGCUCACUGGCCCGGUACUGACACUGAGGUGCGAAAGCGUGGGGAGCAAACA